rnacentral:rRNA from 1 species
GACGAGGGGUGCUAGCGUUGUUCGGAAUUACUGGGCGUAAAGCGCAUGUAGGCGGUUAUUUAAGUCAGAUGUGAAAGCCCUGGGCUCAACCCAGGAAGUGCAUUUGAAACUAUUUAACUUGAGUAUCGGAGAGGGCAGUGGAAUUCCUGGUGUAGUGGUGAAAUACGUAGAUAUCAGGAGGAACACCGGAGGCGAAGGCGGCUGCCUGGCCGAAUACUGACGCUGAGAUGCGAAAGCGUGGGGAGCAAACAGG